UACCAUCUCCACCAAACAGGGAUUCUCUGAGAAAAUUAAAGCAACAUCCAGCAAAAAAGUUCUUAAAUGGAUAAUUUUAACGUAAUGUAUCAAUUUUUUAUUCAGAUGUGCCUCUCUUAAAAUUUUUGAGAGGAAAAUCUAACAUAUAUGUCAUAGUAAAUGAUAGUUACUGGCUGCUGGUUAUUCAACAGAGAAAACUAUUAUUAUAUUCCUCAAGAUUUUCUUUGUUAAUUAAAUCCUUGAAAGAAUGCUACAUCAUCAAAUCAUUCUGUCCAAAGUUACAGUUUAAUUGCUUAAGACCUUGCCAAAUAAAGCAGAACUCAAAUAAACAGAAUAAAUCAACUAAAGAUUCAGGUUGAGGUUUCCAUACCUUAUGAGGAAUCAUAAAACCACUGAAAAGGUUCCAUAACAUAUAAAAUGGAGCAGCGAUAAUGGCAGCAACAUUAUGAUUUGGUGUGACAGCCGUUGUCAUCAUUCCAUAGAAGGUAAAA